CUACGGGUUGCUGCAGUGAGGAGUAUUGCACAAUGGGGGGAACCCUGAUGCAGCAACGCCGCGUGGAGGAUGACGCAUUUCGGUGUGUAAACUCCUUUUAUAUGUCAAGAAAAUGACGGUAGCAUAUGAAUAAGCACCGGCUAACUCCGUGCCAGCAGCCGCGGUAAUAGGAGGGUGCAAGCGUUACUCGGAAUCACUGGGCGUAAAGGACGCGUAGGCGGGUUGGAAAGUCAGGUGUGAAAUCCUACAGCUUAACUGUAGAACCGCACUUGAAACUUCUAAUCUAGAGUAUGGGAGGGGGAGAUGGAAUUAGUGGUGUAGGGGUAAAAUCCGUAGAUAUCACUAGGAAUACCUAAAGCGAAGGCGAUCUCCUGGAACAUUACUGACGCUAAGGCGUGAAAGCGUGGGGAGCAAACAGGAUUAGAUACCCUGGUAGUC
rnacentral:rRNA from 1 species